rnacentral:lncRNA from 1 species
GGGAUUUUAUGUCACAAAUUCAGGGGACUGUUGAGGCACUUUGGUUUUAGAGGUGAAAAGGAAAGAACAACAUACAGACAAAGACUCUGUCAAGCUGUGUAGCAUAAUCCCAAGGCAGUGGAAUAUGAGGUGAAGAGAAUAAGAAGACAGUGGGUGUUGCCAUGAUGUUUUAGGUGGAGGGGGUUUUCUCUCCCUGGGAAGUUUCCAAAAAAUGCCAGUAAGAAAUUGAAGAUAUUUUAAUGUAUUCUUUUGCCAGCACUGAAUAUCCUUGACCACGAGGAAAACGGAUCAGAGACUGAAACAUGAGUUUCUUGUCUUAAAAAGUUGCAGCUGCCUGUUAAACUGAUUGUGGCUGUGCACAGGAUCUUGUGUGUUUUCACCACUUACUUUGUGGUUCCAGAGUAGAGCACUGAAUAUCCUUGACCACGAGGAAAACGGAUCAGAGACUGAAACAUGAGUUUCUUGUCUUAAAAAGUUGCAGCUGCCUGUUAAACUGAUUGUGGCUGUGCACAGGAUCUUGUGUGUUUUCACCACUUACUUUGUGGUUCCAGAGUAGAGGUAAGUAACUUAGGUAAAGGGCCUCAGAUCUUUUAAGACUGGAGUUAAGCAUUUUCUGCU